UACGGGGGGGGCAAGCGUUGUUCGGAAUUACUGGGCGUAAAGGGCGCGUAGGCGGUUUGCUAAGUUGGAUGUGAAAACUCUGGGCUUAACCCAGAGCCUGCAUCCAAAACUGGCAAACUUGAGUACUGGAGGGGAAAUCGGAAUUCCUGGUGUAGCGGUGAAAUGCGUAGAUAUCAGGAGGAACACCGGUGGCGAAGGCGGCUUUCUGGACAGUAACUGACGCUGAGGCGCGAAAGCUAGGGGAGCAAACAGG
rnacentral:rRNA from 1 species